rnacentral:rRNA from 1 species
UAGGGGGUACUGCCUGCCCAGUGAGCAAUUCAACGGCCGCGGUAUCCUGACCGUGCAAAGGUAGCACAAUCACUAGUCUCCUAAAUAGGGACCAGUAUCAACGGCAAGACGAGGGCCUAACUGUCCCCCCCCUUACAGACAAAACUUCUUUGGCCGUGCAAAAGCAGCCAUAACAGUGUAAGACGAGAAGACCCUAUCGAACUUAAGAGAGAAAAACAGAGAAUAAGACCCCCCGCCGACCCCCCACUUCCUAAUUGGGCCCCAAACUCGCCCUCCCUCUUACCCUCCCCCUUCCCCCCUCUCUUUGGUUGGGGCAACCGCGGGGAACACCCAUCCCCCGCAUUGACACCUUGACAAGACUACGAGUCGAAAAUUUUGUACCCCUACAAACUACGAUCCAAACAACUUGAUCCACGAACAAAGUUACCGUAGGGAUAACAGCGUAAUCCCUUCCAAGAGUCCACAUUGCCGAAGGGGUUUGCGACCUCGAUGUUGGAUCGGGUCAUCCUGACGGUGCAGCCGCUGUCAAGGGUUGGUCUGUUCGACCAUU